rnacentral:rRNA from 1 species
AUUGAACGCUGGCGGCAGGCCUAACACAUGCAAGUCGAGCGAGCGGCGGACGGGUGAGUAAUGUCUGGGAAAAUGCCUGAUGGAGGGGGAUAACUACUGGAAACGGUAGCUAAUACCGCAUACCCUCAGAUGUGCCCAGAUGGGAUUAGCUAGUAGGGGGGGUAACGGCUCACCUAGGCGACGAUCCCUAGCUGGUCUGAGAGGAUGACCAGCCACACUGGGACUGAGACACGGCCCAGACUCCUAAGGGAGGCAGCAGUGGGGAAUAUUGCACAAUGGGCGCAAGCCUGAUGCAGCCAUGCCGCGUGUAUGAAGAAGGCCUUCGGGUUGUAAAGUACUUUCAGUGGGGAGGCGUUACCGACAGAAGAAGCACCGGCUAACUCCGUGCCAGCAGCCGCGGUAAUUC